rnacentral:rRNA from 1 species
GAUGAACGCUGGCGGCGUGCCUAAUACAUGCAAGUCGAGCGAACGGACGAGAAGCUUGCUUCUCUGAUGCUAGCGGCGGACGGGUGAGUAACACGUGUAUAACCUACCUAUAAGACUGGGAUAACUUCGGGAAACCGGAGCUAAUACCGGAUAAUAUUUUGAACCGCAUGGUUCAAAAGUGAAAGACGGUCUUGCUGUCACUUAUAGAUGGAUCCGCGCUGCAUUAGCUAGUUGGUAAGGUAACGGCUUACCAAGGCAACGAUGCAUAGCCGACCUGAGAGGGUGAUCGGCCACACUGGAACGGAGACACGGUCCAGACUCCUACGGGAGGCAGCAGUAGGGAAUCUUCCGCAAUGGGCGAAAGCCUGACGGAGCAACGCCGCGUGAGUGAUGAAGGUCUUCGGAUCGUAAAACUCUGUUAUUAGGGAAGAACAUAUGUGUAAGUAACUGUGCACAUCUUGACGGUACCUAAUCAGAAAGCCACGGCUAACUACGUG